rnacentral:rRNA from 1 species
UAAUACCGGAUAGAUCAAAGAUACUGGAAUGUUCCUUGAUCCAAAGCUCCGGCGUCCAAGGAUGGAUCUGCGGCCUAUCAGGUAGUAGUGGGUGUAACGUACCUACUAGCCUACGACGGGUACGGGUUGUGAGAGCAAGAGCCCGGAGAUGGAUUCUGAGACAUGAAUCCAGGCCCUACGGGGCGCAGCAGGCGCGAAAUCUUUACAAUACAGGAAACUGCGAUAAGGGGACCCCGAGUGCCAGCAUCUAAUGCUGGCUGUCCAGCUGUGUAAAUAGCAGUUGUUAGCAAGGGCCGGGCAAGACCGGUGCCAGCCGCCGCGGUAACACCGGCGGCCCGAGUGGUAACCGAUUUUAUUGGGUUUAAAGGGUCCGUAGCCGGCCUAUUAAGUCUCUUGGGAAAUCUGGCGGCUUAAUCGUCAGGCGUCC